UGGUGCAAUCAUACCAGCACUAAUGCACUGGAUUCCAUCAGAACUUUGAAGUUAAGCGUGCUUGGACGAGAGUAGUACUAGGAUGGUUGACCUCCUGGGAGUCCUCGUGUUGCAUCCU